rnacentral:rRNA from 1 species
CUACCCUUAUCGUGGCAUGACACUAGGCUCGUGGAUCGAUGAAGAACGCAGCAAACUGCGAUACUUAACACGAACUGCAGAACCUUGAGCAUAAAAGUUUUGAACGCGUAGUACCGCAUUGGGGUCAAACCCUUUGCUACGUCUGGUUCAGGUUUGUUU